AAGCAUAUCAAUAAGCGGAGGAAAAGAAACCAACAGGGAUUGCCCCAGUAACGGCGAGUGAAGCGGCAACAGCUCAAAUUUGAAAUCUGGCCCCUCGGGGUCCGAGUUGUAAUUUGUAGAGGAUGCUUUUGGUGAGGUGCCGCCCGAGUUCCCUGGAACGGGACGCCACAGAGGGUGAGAGCCCCGUCUGGCUGGCCACCGAGCCUCUGUAAAGCUCCUUCGACGAGUCGAGUAGUUUGGGAAUGCUGCUCAAAAUGGGAGGUAUAUGUCUUCUAAAGCUAAAUAUUGGCCAGAGACCGAUAGCGCACAAGUAGAGUGAUCGAAAGAUGAAAAGCACCUUGAAAAGAGGGUUAAAUAGUACGUGAAAUUGUUGAAAGGGAAGCGCUUGUGACCAGACUUGGGCGCGGCGGAUCAUCCGGGGUUCUCUCCGGUGCACUUCGCCGCGUCUAGGCCAGCAUCAGUUCGUCGCGGGGGAAAAAGGCUUCGGGAACGUGGCUCCUCCGGGAGUGUUAUAGCCCGUUGCAUAAUACCCUGCGGUGGACUGAGGACCGCGCAUCUGCAAGGAUGCUGGCGUAAUGGUCACCAGCGACCCGUC
rnacentral:rRNA from 1 species